AUGUUUGGCUUGGUGGAGCAGCUCCAAGCGCUGGAGAAAUGCUCCAAAGAGGGUGCUAUUGCUACAAACCUAUUGCCACUCAGCAGCCCUGAGAAGAACACCUUAAGCAGCCAAAUCCUCUUUGCUCCAGGUAUAAGUCCUCCAAAAAGCAAGGGUGGCGCCGGGCAAACGUCAACCAAGAAAAGGAUACCUGGCGAAUCGCUCAUUAACCCUGGAUUCAAAAGGUACGUGCUAUACCUAUUCAGUCCUGACCCAUCUCCUGGCUUUGUGGGGCAACACAUUGGGAGAUGCUUGGAUUCAGAAGAUUUGUGACCUGCACUAACCAUGUCCUUCCUAUUUUUUGGCCCCAGCAAGAAGAUUCCCACCGGGGUGGACUUUGAAGAUCCCUGAACGAAGGAUGGGCCACGUUUUCAGAAUCAAAUGCCAAAGAGCCACUCCCUGGAUGUCCCUGAACCGGGUCUUUUAACUAUUUAUGCCUCAUGGAACAAAGGGCCAAAAAGUCCCUUCCUUAAGGUAUUUUAGCAAGCUAUUUUAAAUAUGUACAUAUAAAUAAAUUUUAAAAAACUAAACA
rnacentral:lncRNA from 1 species